rnacentral:lncRNA from 1 species
CCAGAGGUGCAUUUUUCUUAUUUCCAUAUAGUAAAGUUGAGCUUUUACAGUGCAUAAUGUGACAUUUGGAAUGCUUAUCAACUGCAUGUAAACAUUAAUAACCUGCACUUUUUUGUCUUAAGGUUUGUUGAGCUGUUUUGUUCACUGUACUUUAACUGUGAUAUGGAAAAGACUGCAUUCUCUGUGCUGUUACUAAUUAGGAAAGAGAAUUGCUUUGAUUUUGUCUCUUGUUUACUAUAGCUUCUUAAAGUUAAGCCUUGUACUACAGGUUGUUGGAGUACUCCUAGAUCACUGUUUCAUAGUAGCCAGCAAUAAGUAGUGCAAGUCAACAAAAACACAGCAAACUUAGGCAAAGUGUCCUUUCUUUGAGAUGCGAGUUCUUUCAUGAGGUUUUCUUUAGGGCCAGAGUUACCUAAAGUGAAGCCUUUCUUAUCUAUAGACUUCAGAUUCUGCUUGGAAUCCCACCGGCUCAAGAAGCACAUGUAUUGUGCAAUUAAUUGUCUUUACACUAAAACAGUUUAAUACAAUCUAACUACGAUUUUGAAACCAGUGUCUGAUUUAUGGUCAGUGGGUUUAAAAAGAAAUCCACAUGCAGAUCUUUUAAGACUUAAAAAGUGAUCAUAGAAAAGACUAAGUGACUGUAAAGAUGCUCUUUUUUUAAGCAUCUCACUUUACCUCCCCAAGCACCCUCCCAAACCUUGUCUUCCCUCUUCUGUUGCAUCCUUUCCCUACCCUUCCCUCCCAGGUGCUCGGUACUUUACCUAGUUUCUAUAUAUCAGUGUUUUAUGUUGGAAUUUUUCCUUGUUUUUAUUUUACUAGUUGGUAAACCCUGUUUAUGCUGAAACAAAUAAGGAAAUGGUAUAUUUGACCAUAUGUGUUAUUCAUAGAAGACAGUAUGAUCAAAUGUGCCAAAAACAAGCAAACAAAACUUAAUUCCUGAGAAGUAUGCCUUAUUUUUAUUGAUCUGCUUUGUCUUACAAUUAAGGUCCAAGAGCUUGGUUAAACUGUAUUAUUUGCCUAAGUAUAAAAGAAAACUUGAACUGCAUUGCAAUAUUGACGUUCUUUAAAAUGAGAGACACUGUCAAGUAAUUUAAUCCAGAGAUCAGCCACCAGAUUUGAAAUGCUUAUGUAUGUGUGUGUGUUUGGAGUUGUUUUUUUCUUUUAAAUCACCAAAUUUUUUUUAAGCUACUUUUUAUUUGUGCCUCCUAUUUAUCAUGCUGAUGUUAGAAGCAGCAGUCAUCCAGCCACAGAGGGAGCUAAAGUUAACUAACCAGAACUGUAGAAAUCAUUAUACAUGCCUUUGACAACAAAGGAAGUUCAUAAGAAAAGCCAUGUCGGCUUUUCCUCUACUAGAUACAGAUUGGAGGUAGAUGAAUAUUUGCCAAAUGGAAAAAAAGACAAUGCUAGUCAGAAAAGACAAACUGUUUUCCAGCUUCUCAAAAAGCCAUGGAGAGUAGAAACCAAAACCAACAGGGAAAUAAAAAACCUUGAAAGUCUCACUUUCUAGUUGUCCCAUGCAGGGGUUGAAAUUUGAUUCCAAGCGGAAAGUAUAUUAUGUUUUUUCAGGCCUUCACAUCUAGAGAGAUGGAUAACUUCCAAUUUGAUUUUUCAGGUAAUAGAGAAAGCUGCUAGUAAUUUUAACCCCUGCCUAAAGAAGACAUAUACUUCAUUUGGGAGCAAAUACUUAUUGCCUUGAAAAGUAGCACUGUAAUAGCCUAUGAUAAUUAGUUGUAGAAUAACCUUUAUCCCUUUCAAACUAUGCAAAUUAUUAAAUAAGUGUAAAUUAGGAUUCAAUUAAAGAUAGUUGAUUAUAUUGCAAUCAGAUGGCAAUAAUUCAAGAGGCCUCCAAGUUCAAGGACCAAGUCCUUCUAUUUUAGAAUUGUGAAAAACAUGGAAAUACUCUUGUUAGUGUGUGUUUUGGUCUAAGGUAGAUUAUUAACACAGAAGGAUCCUAGGAGGAUUUAAGAAAAUAUGUCCUUAUCGUGAAGUGGCAGUUAAAGUUAUGGGACAGGUGAAUUACCUAUUCAUCUUGACUAGCUCAAACAAUGAUAGCCAUCAGCUAAUGACUUAUCAGACACAUGUUGAGUUUGGGUCAAACUCCCAUUCAGCUGGAGUGGAUUGGCAAUUUUAAAUGCAGGUAGUUGGUGGUGGUACUUGACCUACCUCCUUACCAUGUACAUCUGGCAUCUUCUCUCUCCUAUCCUUUUUCUUUGUUUCUCUCUCCACUUUUACUCUUGCUGUAGGCCUACCAGUGGCACUCAAGCUUACUUCUUCAGAGAGAAGUAAAGAAAUUUCUGACUCCUGCCUUAGAACAUAGCUAACUGAUGAUCCAGAACAAUUUCAGUAUUAUGAGGUAACUGGGCAGUUUUUUUCUGAUUGCUAUUUUCCCCAUAGUCUUAAGCUGGCAGUUUGAAGGUAUCUAAAUUAAUGUUAAGAAACUUGUGAACUGAAGAGAGUAAGAAGUAUGUGUAUUUUAGGUAAGUUACUGGGAACUGAGACUUACUGGUUUGGAAAUUGGAGAGUAGGACGAGGAGAGCUGUUUAAUGUGUUUGUGGAUGGGGGUUUGAGAGGUAUAUAGAGAAUGGUUUGGAAAUAAAGUGAGAGGAAUUUUUACUAGAGGUAGGAAAAGGUACUAUGAUGGAGUCCGAAUGAGAGUUAUUUGCUAAGGAAAUGAAGUUGAUCUUCACUAAGGAAGUUUCAAUAAAGCCAGAGAAAAUGGGUCCCUCAUUGAUUAUGAGAAAGCUGUUAGUUACUAUAGCUAGAGUUAUGAUAAUGAUCAUGCAUUAUACAAGUCUGUUUUCAUGUAUAGGAUGUCUGCUUUUCUGGGACAAAUUAGC